UGGCAUACCACCAUUUUUUCGGCCACUUGAAUUGUAAAAUGGUAAUCCUUUAAGACUCGUAAUGUACGUAUUUUCAGCAAUGGGAACAACUUGAACAUGUUGCACCAUUUAAAUGUGUUUGAUGUGAUGAAUAGUUUGACAACAAAAGAGCUUGUAUGUUAUUGUUAUGUAUCAAGCAUGUGAUAAUGUGAAUAUAGUCCUUCAUAAUACUUGAAUAUUGAGUUGUAAGUUUUUGAAUGUGAUAUGUAAGUCGUUUAUGGAUUUUUUAAGCA